rnacentral:misc_RNA from 1 species
UAGCGUUAGGGAUAGUAGCGGAAAGCCCACAGCGUGCGGGGGCUUAGCGUGUGGGCAAGGCGAGGACUUGUAGCGGAUAGCCCGGGCCGGA